rnacentral:rRNA from 1 species
AAAAUUAUUUUGGUGCUGCUUGGUUUAGUUUUUCUUAAAAAGAAUAGGCUAAAUAGUAUUAUAAGAGGAUAAUAUUUAUAUUGUAGGGUUAAAUAUUGAGAAAGAAACGUCUAACUUUUUUAGUAAUGGUGACUGAAAAAUUUGUAAGUUGUUGCGUGUAAGUACUGUGAAGGAAACAGUUUUAAAUUUUAGGUUAGUAGAGAUUUAAUCUUGUACCUUUUGUAUUAUGGUUCUCCUAGAGAGAAAUUUGUUAGUUAAAUGUUCCCGAAAAAGGCUGAGCUAUUUCUUAGCAAUAAUUACGUCAACGUAGCAAAGUUGUGUAUAGACUAAGAAAUAGGGGUGAAAUGCUUUACGAAGUCUUUGAUUGCUGGUUAAUUAGGAAAUGCAUUAAAGUGCAGGUAGGUUGUAUGUUAGUAUUUUAGUUCAUUGAUUUAUGUUGUUUGGGCUGAAAGCAGAGAUCUUACUGACAUGAGAAAGGAUAAGCUUUUUCGUGGUAUUAAGAGAAAAAUUAAUAGAGACGUGUGAUAAUUUAGUGGGCUUAGAAUUGGCCACCUGGUAUAAUGAGUUUGUUACAAAUCAAUUGCAAAAAUUGGUCUCAAAAAUCUUUAUUUUUUUCUCUAAUUUUGAUAAGUAGAGUACUAAUUUAAUUGGCUUGAUUAAAAUAGCUAAUUUAUUUCUGGUGAAAUGAGUAUUUAUGUGUGUUAAAUAUUAAAUGUUUAAGUUUAAAUAAAAUUGAAGGAUUUAAUUAAAUAGGAAAUUUUUGAAAUUUAGUUUUGUAUCAAGCUUGAUUGAUUGAUCUUAAAUUGACACAGUAUUAAUUUAAAAAAAGGAACUCGGCAAAUACGGCUUCGCCUGUUUAUCAAAAACAUCGCUCUUUGGUAUAUAAGUAUUAAAAAUAUAAAGAGUCGGGCCUGCCCAGUGACAUUAUAUGUUAAACGGCCGCGGUACCCUGACCGUGCAAAGGUAGCAUAAUCACUUGCCUUUUGAUUGAGGGCUGGUAUGAAUGGCUUGACGAGAGCUGGACUGUCUCUUUUUAAAUUUGUAAAAAUUAACUUUUAGGUGAAGAGGCCUAAAUUCAACUGAGUGACGAAAAGACCCUAUUGAACUUUAGUUAAUUAACAAAAUUUUAACGCUUUGUUUUUCUAAGCACUUGGAUUUGCAUAUGUGUUUUGUUAAGAAUCUUUAGUUGGGGUGACUUAGGAGUAAAAAAAACUUCCUUUAAUUAUUUAGAUAUACAAGGUAUUCAUACUGAUUUUAUAGAUCCAGUAUUUACUGAUCAAAGGAAAAAGUUACCAUAGGGAUAACAGCGUUAUCUUUCUGGAGAGUUCUUAUUGAAGGAAAGGUUUACGACCUCGAUGUUGGACUAGGAUAUCCUAGAGGUGCAGAAGCUUCUGAUGGUUAGUCUGUUCGACUAUUAAAAUCCUACAUGAUCUGAGUUCAGACCGGCGUGAGCCAGGUUGGUUUCUAUCUUCAGUUGAUUUAUAAGUUAAAUUUUUAACUAGUACGAAAGGACCGUUGUUAAAAUAAAUAAUUUAUAAAUAAAGAAUCCAUUUUAAGAUUGAGUAUUAAAUUUUACUAGAAUAAGGUUUUAUU